rnacentral:lncRNA from 1 species
AUGAAGGAUUGGCCAAGAUUGGUGCCAAGCUCAGGGAGAUCGGUGAUGACUUUGAUGAGAAGAGGAUCCAGCCCCUGAUUCAGGACCUUCAAAAAGCAUCGUCUGAACAGGUACACUGUGCCUUAAAGUAACACUAUACAAGAAUUUGACACUUUUUGAGGUAUGGUUUUAUAGGAAACAAUUUUUUUUACCAUCCUCAAAUUCAUUUUGAUAGCAUAUGGUCAUGUGAAGGACACCUGUGUCUUUCCCACUAGCCAUCCAGGAUAUGCACUAUGUAGUUCUGUGUUUCCUGGCUGGAAGACCUUGCAAAAAUGGAAGAAAAUCUUUUACAGCAUGACAUUGCCAGCUUUACUGCCAAAAGACACCAGUUAGUGUGUUGGCAUUGGCAAGCCUCUAUCAGUUUAAACUGGGCUGUUGGUGGUGUUAGCAAGGUUUUUGCAUGCUUUUUAAGUAGUUAGCGUGCUAGUUUUGAAACAGAUCUCCGUAUUGCUGCCUUAAGUCACCAACAAUAUUACCAUUUAUUUUCAUCCCUCAGAAAAAAUGAAUCUAGAAAUGGGUAAUGAACCACGUUUAUGUACAUCAUAAUUUUUUUUAGUGGACUGAAUCUUUCCGUUUCUAUUCAGCAUUGGCUAUUUUUAAAGUUUUUUUUCUCUUUUAUAUUUUAAUAAAUAAAAGCAAUGUUGUAUUGAGUAAUGAAACAUGCUAUUCGGCCUCCUACCAGCAGGUGGCGGCGGUGUUCGGCAGCUGUGUGGACACCCUGUGCCAGUCAUGGGUGGCGCAGCGAUCCGAGGUGGCACCGGAGAUGAACAUGCUAAAAGCGUCAGUGGCCUUGGGGCUCUACGUGAAGAAGAACUGCCCAGACAUGGUGCCCUUCGUACACAGCGCCAUGACUAACUUCCUCAACACGCGCCUCGGGAACUGGGUGACUUCACAAGGAGGCUGGGACAACGCUGUCUCCUGCUAGAGGCAGCUCGGCUGGGAAAGUCCAUACUGAGUUGGCCUGUCAAUCAAGACCUCACCACAUCCUACACUGUCAAUCAAGACCGCACCACAUCCUACACCUGUCAAUCAAGACCUCACCACAUCCCCUCUGGAACACACACACCUGUCAAUCAAGCCCUCACCACAUCCCCUCUGGAACACACACACCUGUCAAUCAAGACCUCACCACAUCCCCUCUGGAACACACACACCUGUCAAUCAGGACCUCACCACAUCCCCUCUGGAACACACACACCUGUCAAUCAAGACCUCACCACAUCCCCUCUGGAACACACACACCUGUCAAUCAGGACCUCACCACAUCCCCUCUGGAACACACACACCUGUCAAUCAGGACCUCACCACCUCCCCUCUGGAACACACACACCUGUCAAUCAGGACUGUUGGCUAUAAAGCCAUGGAAACCAUCAGGUCGCUCAGUGCCAUCUCCUCAGAAUAACAGUCCCAUGAUGCCCUGGGCUUUAUAUUAACAGUCCCGUGAUGCCCUGGGCUUAAUAUUAAUACAGUCUGUAGUGGAGCCGAGGGCCAACACUGUAGUAGUAGUAGUAGCAGUAGUAGUAGUAGUAGCAGCAUUAGUAGUAAUAGUAGUAGUAGCAGUAGUAGUAUAAGCAGCAGCAGCAUUAGUAGUAAUAGUAGUAGUAGCAGUAAUAGCAGCAGCAUUAGUAGUAAUAAUAGUAGUAGCAGCAGUAGUAGUAUAAGCAGCAGCAGCAGCAUUAGUAGUAAUAGUAGUAGUAGCAGUAGUAGCAGCAGCAGCAUUAGUAGUAAUAGUAGUAGUAGCAGUAGUAGCAGCAGCAGCAUUAGUAGUAGUAGUAGAUGUAGUAUUAGCAGUAGCAGAAGUAGAAAUCACCAAAUCGCCAGUACCUCCAAAUCACUGCACGCUGAUUUUGAUUGAUUGAUUUAGUCCAGCUCACAUCACGUGCCUCCUGUGACACACCUGUACCUGUGGAUUGCAAUCAAUGACCGUGAAUCAUCCACACCAGGUAUCAUUGUCAGGCCUUUGUAAUAUUUAAUAUCAAAUUUUGUAAUAUUUCAUAGUUUAGUCUUUCAAAUAUGUGUAACGAGCUCACAAAAAGCGUGGGCAGCACAGAUUCUUUGUGAGCUGCACCAAAUCUUUCUUGAACAUGUUAAAUGUGUGUUGUGUGUUAGUGUGUGUAUUUUAAGUCUUUCUGGGGCGGUUGUGUGGUUAUCAAUGGUGCUGUCCCGGGGUUAGUGUAGCGGCCUUUCACAUCCACUGCCAGUCUUUAGAGUGGACGGCAAAGGACAAUCACCUGAACACGCACCUACUUCCAUCACGUGUCUUAAUGUGAAUGUCAUUUUUAAAAGGCUUUUUAAUGAUGACUUUUCUAAUUCUUCCCUUAAACCAUCUUCACUAUCCAAGGGGGAAGGGACCAUAUCAGGGAAGGGGGCAUAUCAGAGAAGUGUGUCAUAGCUAGAUAUGCUAAAUGAUAUUGUCUAAGAAUGUGUUUAUCA